GGUACAGUGGCUUAGUGGGUUAGCACAUUCGCCUCACACCGCCAAGGUUGGGGGUUCAAUACUCCUCUGUGUAU